rnacentral:rRNA from 1 species
UGCAGCGACGCCGCGUGAGGGAUGACGGCCUUCGGGUUGUAAACCUCUUUCAGCAGGGACGAAGCGCAAGUGACGGUACCUGUAGAAGAAGGACCGGCCAACUACGUGCCAGCAGCCGCGGUAAUACGUAGGGUCCGAGCGUUGUCCGGAAUUACUGGGCGUAAAGAGCUCGUAGGUGGUUUGUCGCGUUGUUCGUGAAAACUCACAGCUUAACUGUGGGCGUGCGGGCGAUACGGGCAGACUUGAGUACUGCAGGGGAGACUGGAAUUCCUGGUGUAGCGGUGGAAUGCGCAGAUAUCAGGAGGAACACCGGUGGCGAAGGCGGGUCUCUGGGCAGUAACUGACGCUGAGGAGCGAAAGCGUGGGGAGCGAACAGGAUUAGAUACCCUGGUAGUCCACGCCGUAAACGGUGGGUACUAGGUGUGGGUUUCCUUCCUUGGGAUCCGUGCCGUAGCUAACGCAUUAAGUACCCCGCCUGGGGAGUACGGCCGCAAGGCUAAAACUCAAAGAAAUUGACGGGGGCCCGCACAAGCGGCGGAGCAUGUGGAUUAAUUCGAUGCAACGCGAAGAACCUUACCUGGGUUUGACAUGCACAGGACGUGCCUAGAGAUAGGUAUUCCCUUGUGGCC